GUGCCAGCAGCCGCGGUAAUACAUGGGGUGCAAACGUUGCUCGGAAUCAUUGGGCGUAAAGCGCACGUAGGCGGUUCGUUAUGUCGGAUGUGAAAGCCCUCGGCUUAACCGGGGAAGUGCAUCCGAAACUGGCGAGCUUGAGUACUAAAGAGGGUCGCGGAAUUCCCGGUGUAGAGGUGAAAUUCGUAGAUAUCGGGAGGAACACCAGCGGCGAAGGCGGCGACCUGGGUAGAUACUGACGCUGAGGUGCGAAAGCGUGGGGAGCAAACAGGAUUAGAUACCCCGGUAGUCC
rnacentral:rRNA from 1 species